ensembl:snoRNA Gm24377 predicted gene, 24377
ACUGCCCCUAGAUGCAUUGCAGGUGUGGCUGCUGUGUCACAUAUGUAUCAGUAAGUGGCAGAAAGGAGAGAUGAUAUUUCUAUGCUCAGUGUCUGACCUGUGAACAUCUGAAUAAUUAGUAACCUAACAGU